UCUGUUUUCUUUUUUUGGCACAAUUACAUGGGAAAAACAACACGUCAUAACCCUAUUAAAUAUCCUUCAUUUCAGCUCUCAGCACGUCAACCUUUGAUGCGUCACAUAACCUGAAAAUAGUUCCUUAAAUUAUAUAUAUCUAUAGAGGAAAGUGUUUGUGCGGGCUUAUGGAGACCGUGGGUGUACAAGAAAGACAAUAACAUUUGUGAUAAAAACAAUAAGAGUUAUCUGGGCAGUGAUUUAGACUUACAUAGUUCUGAUAGUUCAUUUUCUAGUAUUGAGGAAGCAAAAAGAAGCAAGGGAAGUAGAAGCUACAGAAGAAAUCAAGCAGUUUUAAAAGAACAAAUUUAUCUAAAUAUCUAUAACAAUCUAAGGAAUGAUACUCAGUUCACAAAUGAUUGUAGUGCUUUGCAAAAAAUAGCGUUUUUAACAGAAGUUCCCUAUAGUAAAAUAUGCCUGUAAAAAAAAGGAUUAAAGACAGAAUAAAAAGGAAAGAUGCAGGACAAUCAAAGGGACUUGACAUGGAUAUUGCCAAAUUGCUAAGGAAAGGUGUGUAUUCUAAAUACAAAAACAAUGAGGUUCUGACCAUAGAGACACCUUAUCGGCAAGGGACAAACAUUUCUCAGUCUCAACCCUUGCAGAGAUACCUGAUAAAACUUGGAUUUAAGCUUAAGAUGGUUAACAAAAGAGCUGCUGUAAUGGAGCUCAGUGGGUCAGGUGGUGUAUAGAAUAUUUGAGGAAAAUUAAAAAAAUUUGGGAGGAAGAAAGAUCCAUAUAUUAUUUAGCCGAAACAUGAUAUGAUACAUUUAUGAUUGAUGUAUGAUUUCCAUUCUCUGGGAAAAAAGUCCCUUUUUUGCCAUACUUACUGGCCCUGUUGUCCUUCAGUGAUACAAUAAAGACUGCUUCUUCCACCAUUCUCUGGGAAAAACCCUUUUUUGCUAUGCUUACUGCCCCUGUUGUCCUUCAGCAACACAAUGAAGACUGCUUCUUCCUCCAUUCUCUGGAAAAAAGUCCCUUUUUUGCCAUACUUACUGCCCCUGUUUGUCCUUCAGCGACCCAAUAAAGUAUAUAUAAUGUAAUGCUUUAGAAUCCAUAUGCUGAUGUGCGAAAUGAAGUUGGAAUCCAUGGCGGCAACAGAGAAACUGUUUCCUUUCUUAAUGGAAGAAACUUCUAAAGAACAAUGGCAAAAAAACAGAAUUUACAAAAUUUGUAUUAACUUUUUGGGCCAGAUUCAAAAGAGUGGUUAAAUUUAUAAAAGUAUUUAGUAUCCUCACUGUAGUUUUAGGAUCCAGUAUACUUAAAAUGUAGUGUUUUGUAUAAGAUUUUUAGUUUUUAGUAUAAGCAUUUAUUUUUGUUAAUUUUUAUCUAAUCUCUCCUAAUAUGCAUAAUAACUAAAUACGAGGCAAACAAAU